rnacentral:rRNA from 1 species
GGGUUGUGAGGUUAAGCGACUAAGCGUACACGGUGGAUGCCCUGGCAGUCAGAGGCGAUGAAGGGCGUGCUAAUCUGCGAUAAGCGCCGGUAAGGUGAUAUGAACCGUUAUAACCGGCGAUACCCGAAUGGGGAAACCCAGUGUGACUCGUCACACUAUCAUUAACUGAAUCCAUAGGUUAAUGAGGCGAACCGGGGGAACUGAAACAUCUAAGUACCCCGAGGAAAAGAAAUCAACCGAGAUUCCCCCAGUAGCGGCGAGCGAACGGGGAGGAGCCCAGAGCCUGAAUCAGCAUGUGUGUUAGUGGAAGCGUCUGGAAAGGCGCGCGAUACAGGGUGACAGCCCCGUACACAAAAGCGCAUGUGCUGUGAGCUCGAUGAGUAGGGCGGGACACGUGGUAUCCUGUCUGAAUAUGGGGGACCAUCCUCCAAGGCUAAAUACUCCUGACUGACCGAUAGUGAACCAGUACCGUGAGGGAAAGGCGAAAAGAACCCCGGCGAGGGGAGUGAAAAAGAACCUGAAACCGUGUACGUACAAGCAGUGUGACUGCGUACCUUUUGUAUAAUGGGUCAGCGACUUAUAUUCUGUAGCAAGGUUAACCGAAUAGGGGAGCCGGAGGGAAACCGAGUCUUAAUUGGGCGUUAAGUUGCAGGGUAUAGACCCGAAACCCGGUGAUCUAGCCAUGGGCAGGUUGAAGGUUGGGUAACACUAACUGGAGGACCGAACCGACUAAUGUUGAAAAAUUAGCGGAUGACCUGUGGCUGGGGGUGAAAGGCCAAUCAAACCGGGAGAUAGCUGGUUCUCCCCGAAAGCUAUUUAGGUAGCGCCUCGUGAAUUCAUCUCCGGGGGUAGAGCACUGUUUCGGCUAGGGGGCCAUCCCGGCUUACCAACCCGAUGCAAACUGCGAAUACCGGAGAAUGUUAUCACGGGAGACACACGGCGGGUGCUAACGUCCGUCGUGAAGAGGGAAACAACCCAGACCGCCAGCUAAGGUCCCAAAGUCAUGGUUAAGUGGGAAACGAUGUGGGAAGGCCCAGACAGCCAGGAUGUUGGCUUAGAAGCAGCCAUCAUUUAAAGAAAGCGUAAUAGCUCACUGGUCGAGUCGGCCUGCGCGGAAGAUGUAACGGGGCUAAACCAUGCACCGAAGCUGCGGCAGCGACACUGUGUGUUGUUGGGUAGGGGAGCGUUCUGUAAGCCUGCGAAGGUGGCCUGUGAGGGUUGCUGGAGGUAUCAGAAGUGCGAAUGCUGACAUAAGUAACGAUAAAGCGGGUGAAAAGCCCGCUCGCCGGAAGACCAAGGGUUCCUGUCCAACGUUAAUCGGGGCAGGGUGAGUCGACCCCUAAGGCGAGGCCGAAAGGCGUAGUCGAUGGGAAACGGGUUAAUAUUCCCGUACUUGGUGUUACUGCGAAGGGGGGACGGAGAAGGCUAUGUUGGCCGGGCGACGGUUGUCCCGGUUUAAGCGUGUAGGUGUGUGUUCCAGGUAAAUCCGGUUCACUUUAACACUGAGGCGUGACGACGAGGCACUACGGUGCUGAAGCAACAAAUGCCCUGCUUCCAGGAAAAGCCUCUAAGCAUCAGGUAACAUCAAAUCGUACCCCAAACCGACACAGGUGGUCAGGUAGAGAAUACCAAGGCGCUUGAGAGAACUCGGGUGAAGGAACUAGGCAAAAUGGUGCCGUAACUUCGGGAGAAGGCACGCUGACACGUAGGUGAAGUGAUUUACUCAUGGAGCUGAAGUCAGUCGAAGAUACCAGCUGGCUGCAACUGUUUAUUAAAAACACAGCACUGUGCAAACACGAAAGUGGACGUAUACGGUGUGACGCCUGCCCGGUGCCGGAAGGUUAAUUGAUGGGGUCAGCGCAAGCGAAGCUCCUGAUCGAAGCCCCGGUAAACGGCGGCCGUAACUAUAACGGUCCUAAGGUAGCGAAAUUCCUUGUCGGGUAAGUUCCGACCUGCACGAAUGGCGUAAUGAUGGCCAGGCUGUCUCCACCCGAGACUCAGUGAAAUUGAACUCGCUGUGAAGAUGCAGUGUACCCGCGGCAAGACGGAAAGACCCCGUGAACCUUUACUAUAGCUUGACACUGAACAUUGAGCCUUGAUGUGUAGGAUAGGUGGGAGGCUUUGAAGUGUGGACGCCAGUCUGCAUGGAGCCGACCUUGAAAUACCACCCUUUAAUGUUUGAUGUUCUAACGUGGACCCGUUACCCGGGUUGCGGACAGUGUCUGGUGGGUAGUUUGACUGGGGCGGUCUCCUCCUAAAGAGUAACGGAGGAGCACGAAGGUUGGCUAAUCCUGGUCGGACAUCAGGAGGUUAGUGCAAUGGCAUAAGCCAGCUUGACUGCGAGCGUGACGGCGCGAGCAGGUGCGAAAGCAGGUCAUAGUGAUCCGGUGGUUCUGAAUGGAAGGGCCAUCGCUCAACGGAUAAAAGGUACUCCGGGGAUAACAGGCUGAUACCGCCCAAGAGUUCAUAUCGACGGCGGUGUUUGGCACCUCGAUGUCGGCUCAUCACAUCCUGGGGCUGAAGUAGGUCCCAAGGGUAUGGCUGUUCGCCAUUUAAAGUGGUACGCGAGCUGGGUUUAGAACGUCGUGAGACAGUUCGGUCCCUAUCUGCCGUGGGCGCUGGAGAACUGAGGGGGGCUGCUCCUAGUACGAGAGGACCGGAGUGGACGCAUCACUGGUGUUCGGGUUGUCAUGCCAAUGGCACUGCCCGGUAGCUAAAUGCGGAAGAGAUAAGUGCUGAAAGCAUCUAAGCACGAAACUUGCCCCGAGAUGAGUUCUCCCUGAGACUUAAAGUCUCCUGAAGGAACGUUGAAGACGACGACGUUGAUAGGCCGGGUGUGUAAGCGCAGCGAUGCGUUGAGCUAACCGGUACUAAUGAACCGUGAGGCUUAACCUUACAACGCCGAAG